rnacentral:rRNA from 1 species
AGCGGCGGACGGGUGAGUAACACGUGGGUAACCUGCCCAAGAGACUGGGAUAACACCUGGAAACAGAUGCUAAUACCGGAUAACAACACUAGACGCAUGUCUAGAGUUUGAAAGAUGGUUCUGCUAUCACUCUUGGAUGGACCUGCGGUGCAUUAGCUAGUUGGUAAGGUAACGGCUUACCAAGGCAAUGAUGCAUAGCCGAGUUGAGAGACUGAUCGGCCACAUUGGGACUGAGACACGGCCCAAACUCCUACGGGAGGCGGCAGUAGGGAAUCUUCCACAAUGGACGAAAGUCUGAUGGAGCAACGCCGCGUGAGUGAAGAAGGGUUUCGGCUCGUAAAGCUCUGUUGGUAGUGAAGAAAGAUAGAGGUAGUAACUGGCCUUUAUUUGACGGUAAUUACUUAGAAAGUCACGGCUAACUACGUGCCAGCAGCCGCGGUAAUACGUAGGUGGCAAGCGUUGUCCGGAUUUAUUGGGCGUAAAGCGAGUGCAGGCGGUUCAAUAAGUCUGAUGUGAAAGCCUUCGGCUCAACCGGAGAAUUGCAUCAGAAACUGUUGAACUUGAGUGCAGAAGAGGAGAGUGGAACUCCAUGUGUAGCGGUGGAAUGCGUAGAUAUAUGGAAGAACACCAGUGGCGAAGGCGGCUCUCUGGUCUGCAACUGACGCUGAGGCUCGAAAGCAUGGGUAGCGAACGGGAUUAGAUACCCUGGUAGUCCAUGCCGUAAACGAUGAGUGCUAAGUGU